GAUGAAGAACGCAGUGAAAUGCGAUAAGUAAUGUGAAUUGCAGAAUUCAGUGAAUCAUCGAAUCUUUGAACGCACCUUGCGCCCCUUGGUUAUUCCAAAGGGCAUGCCUGUUUGAGUAUCAUGAACACCUCAACUCUUGUGGUUUCCCACAAUGAGCUUGGACUGUGGAGGUUUUGUUGGCCCUGUGGUCAGCUCCUCUCAAAUGGAUCAGCUUACCGGUGUUUGGUGACAUUACGGGUGUGAUAACUAUCUACGCUCGUGGUCGUCUCCAAAUAACCUCCAGUGAUGGAGGUUCGCUGGAGCUUAUAAAUGUCUCUCCCCAGUGAAGACAGCCUUUGAACGUUCGAUCUCAAAUCAGGUAGGACUACCCGCUGAACUUAAGCAUAUCAAUAAGCGGAGGA
rnacentral:misc_RNA from 1 species